CCCUGAGGGAGGCGCUGCAGAGCCGAGCGGAGCCUUUUCCCGGGCAGCGGGGAGGGAGAGGGGAGGUGCGGCGGCCCAGCUCCCUCUGGGGGCGGGUCUGAGAGGGGCUGGACAUGAGUGAAGGGGGUGUGCCCCCCUGGCCCGCAAAGUGAGUCGUGUUCUGUCAGAAGACAGGGGAAAAUAAGCGACUCUUGAACACAACUGUGGACCUCCACAGCUAACCUCGUCCAGAAGGAAAAGGGAAAUCCACAGGCCUUGGGAAGCUGUCACUGAGUCAGAAAACUGCCCUCGCCAACCUGCCCCAUGGCACUGACCAGUGACAUGGGCAGGAGGGACCAAAGAACGGCCUCUCAGCAACAGAGGGGAUGGCAUCCUGCGUGCUUUGGAAAUUCAAGUGUAUUUUAUCUCACAAUAUGUAAUCAACAAUUAACAAUGGAAACACCCAAAGGAGCAGACUACAAUUUCCUGGCAUUAGUUUGCUAGAUUCAGUAGUCAUCUUACCUAAGUACACAACAUUAAAGUCCUAACUUUUUUGUUAAUUUUUUUAAUACGUAUUCAAUAUCACCUGCUAGGGAGUCCAGAGGUACUGUACAGAAGAGGCUUUGAAACACCAGCUGCACAUCCUGCUUCUUGAAAGAGAUCCCAAAAGCCACUGGCAGGAAGAUUAAAAGAGUUCUACCACAAGUUACAUGAGCUGCACAAAUCACUUCUGACAACCAAGGUAAAUAAAUGCCCUGGAAGUUCUGUCACUCAUCAUCUGGACUAUGAACUUCAGGACAGACAGUUUUGUCUCUACUUGCUGCUAUCAAGCUAUCAGUGCUUCAGUCAAACAGAAUAUAAAAUGCAAAUAAAACAUUAUUUACUACAGGUUAGAAAAAUUAUUUCAGAAGCUUAGCAUUGUUUAGGAAAUACAUCUUGAGUCACACAUCUGCAAUGACAUGCAGCUAUACUAAUGAGGAAAAUAGGAACACGAUUUAAUUUCAUUGAAACACAAA